rnacentral:rRNA from 1 species
GGAUGCAGUGUAUGGAGAGUCUAUUAUCUCAUAUGCCACAUCAAUAGGUUCAAGUCCUUCUUGAAUGGGGCCCAUUUACCCAUAGAGGGUGCCAGGCCCGUAGCAGCUAUUGUUAUGAUGGUAUGAGAAGACUUCUCUUAAGAGUCGUGUUGCUUGAUAGUGCAGCACUAAGUUGGUGGUAAACUCCAUCUAAGGCUAAAUAUAACCACGAGACCGAUAGCGAACAAGUACCGUGAGGGAAAGUUGAAAAGAACUCUGAAUAGAGAGUUAAAAAGUACGUGAAACCNNNNNNNNNNNNNNNNNNNNNNNNNNNNNNNNNNNNNNNNNNNNNNNNNNNNNNNNNNNNNNNNNNNNNNNNNNNNNNNNNNNNNNNNNNNNNNNNNNNNNNNNNNNUUUAAUAAUAUAUCUUGUAUAAUMCCAUAUAGUGUCCAGAUAAAUAUUCGAUAGUGUUUUCAAAAUUUUGCAUAUUAAUUUUGCGGUUAUAUAUUUUUAUAAAGUAAAAUAUAUACGUUAUGCAAUAUGCAUUUUAAUUUGAUUGGCAAUGCGAUAGAUUUAGGAUACCUUCGGGACCCGUCUUGAAACACGGACCAAGAAGUCUAACAUGUGUGCAAGUCAAUAGGUUUUUUUAUAUAUUAAAAUUUAUAAUAAACCUAUUGGCAUAAUUAACAUAACUAUUAUAUAUAAUUAUGUUUAAUUAAUUGGGAUAACGAAUAUUAUAUAUAUAUUUAUAUAUUAUUCUUACAUCCUGGGGCGUUCUAUAUAGAACAUGAUUUAUAUUUUAUAUAUUAAUCCUCUGUUCUAGAGCGUACCUUGAGCAUAUAUGCUGUGACCCGAAAGAUGGUGAACUAUACCUGAUCAAGUUGAAGUCAGGGGAAACCCUGAUGGAGGACUGAAGCAGUUCUGACGUGCAAAUCGAUUGUCAGAAUUGGGUAUAGGGGCGAAAGACCAAUCGAACCAUCUAGUAGCUGGUUCCCUCCGAAGUUUCCCUCAGGAUAGCUGGUGCAAUAAAUUUCUAAGCAAAUAUAAUCUUAUCUGGUAAAGCGAAUGAUUAGAGGCAUUGGGGCCGAAACGACCUCAACCUAUUCUCAAACUUUAAAUGGGUAAAAUCCUUGUCUUUCUUGAAAUGAAAUGAAGACAAUGGAUGGAUAUAUUGUGCCCAGUGGGCCACUUUUGGUAAGCAGAACUGGCGCUGUGGGAUGAACCAAACGUGAUGUUACGGCGCCAAAAUUAACGACUCAUAUCGACACCAUGAAAGGCGUUGGUUGCUUAAAACAGCAGGACGGUGGACAUGGAAGUCGUAAUCCGCUAAGGAGUGUGUAACAACUCACCUGCCGAAGCAACUAGCCCUUAAAAUGGAUGGCGCUAAAGUCGUAUGCCUAUACAUCACCGUUAAAGUAAAUGAUACAAUAUAUUUUAUAUUGUUUAAAUAUCAUUAAACUUUAACGAGUAGGAGGGUGCAAUGGUGUGCAUCGAAGUGUUUGGCGUAAGCCUGCAUGGAGCCGCCAUUGGCACAGAUCUUGGUGGUAGUAGCAAAUAAUCGAAUGAGACCUUGGAGGACUGAAGUGGAGAAGGGUUUCGUGUGAACAGUGGUUGAUCACGAGUUAGUCGGUCCUAAGCUCUAGGCGAAAGCCGAUAUUAAUAUUUAGUUUAAAUAUAUGAUAUACUAAAUAAUUAAUGGAGCGAAAGGGAAUACGGUUCCAAUUCCGUAACCUGUUGAGUAUACGUUUGUUUAAUAAAAUAUGGGUCCCUUAGCACUCAUCCUGGUAACAGGAACAACCAUAGAGAAGCCUACGAGAGAUACUGGAAGAGUUUUCUUUUCUGUUGAACAACUGUAUUACCAUGGAAGUCUUUAAAAGAGAGAUAUGGUAAAUGGUUGGAAGAGCAUGACAUUUACUGUUGUGUCAGUAUUUUCUCCUUGGACCUUGAAAAUCUAUGGUGGGGCCACGCAAACAUCUCAACAGACCGUACCGAUAUCCGCAGCCGGUCUCCAAGGUGAAAAGCCUCUAGUCGAUAGAAUAAUGUAGGUAAGGGAAGUCGGCAAAUUAGAUCCGUAACUUCGGGAUAAGGAUUGGCUCUGAAGACUGAGAUAAUCGGGCUUGAUUGGGAAGUAAUAAAUAUAAAAUGGUUUCAUGUGCUCGUCCUGGGCGGUUAAAUAUUUAUAUGUAAUAAUAUAAGUAUUUCCCUCGGGUAGUAGAUUUCAUGGCCUAAUUACGGAACUUUCUUGCUAUAUUAUGCCAUGUAUUUAUAUGUAUGUGUGUAUAUAUUUUAUAUAUAUAUAUGUAUAUAUAUAGAUAUAUGUUUAAACGAUUAUCAAUAAACAGUUAAUUCAGAACUGGCACGGACUUGGGGAAUCCGACUGUCUAAUUAAAACAAAGCAUUGUGAUGGCCCUAACGAUGGUGUUGACACAAUGUGAUUUCUGCCCAGUGCUCUGAAUGUCAAAGUGAAAAAAUUCAAGUAAGCGCGGGUAAACGGCGGGAGUAACUAUGACUCUCUUAAGGU